UCCUCCACCCCCUCUCCAUCCUAAUGAGGCUUCCCUACGCAAAAACUCCAUGGCGGGGUAGGCUCCCUUUCGACAUGGGUCACGCCGGUUUCACAAGAGUCUAGGCAAGUGGCGGCCAAGAUUGAACUUCCAAAACACUCUCUAGAUCUAGCGACAAACAGCCAAACCACCACUUACUCGAGCCUCCGCACCAUGAUUGCUACAUCAAGAGGUCGGCAGAGGGGGUGUGCAGUCAUGCUACAAUUCUUGUGGGCAAAUCGUGUGAAGUGGAAUGUUCUUGAGUGAGGGCAUACAUGGAUCACAAUGACUAUGCUCCAAGCUUUGCAAUGUCACAUGAAAGAGCGCUCCCUCUGCCAUCUUUAAUGACAGAUUGCUCCCUCUCCAUUAAUGAUUCAACCAUCCAAAAAACUUUCCUGGCCGGUCUGACAUGGGUCACACAUGGGGGUUUAGGCUAGUGGCAUAUCGACCUAAUUGACCUUCCAAAACACACUCAAAAUCUAGUGACAAACGCCCCACCUACCACUUAGUCAAGGCUCCCCAGCAUGGUUGUUAUGUCAAGAGGUCGCUGGAGGGGGUGGGUUAUGCUUUAGACCUUGUGGUCUACAAGCCUCACGAGUGGAAGCUCCCAUGAGUGAAGGAAUACAUGGAGCACAACGACCAAGGUGUUUCAAGAAGAAAAAUUAAUUGGCUCUUAGGAGAUCCAGGUAGGGCUUAAGAGGACAAUGUUUGAUCAUUCAAAAUUGGUCAGGUACCACCCAUGGACUUGUGUAGAAAGGAUGAUUUCAAUCACCCAUGUCAUCGAGGUUGCGAAGAGGAAAUUCAAGAUAUUCACCCUGAUAAAAAUAUAGGCUUGAAGCACGCGUACAUUUUGUGAUAAUGGCCAAGCGAAGAUGGGCUUAAAUGAAAAGGCUUUCCAUAUUGUUAGAUGAAUGGACAAAACUGGAGGUGUUCAUCAAUUGAUUGUGACCUGGAGAAGGCUUCCAACUUGGAGCAAAGAUUGAUGUCGCCAUCAAGUUUAGGUGGAUUAACGCAAGACAAAGGUAUGCAUACAAUUUAACCAAUUUAUGGGUGAAGCCAACCUCACCAAUGACAAAUAAAUACAAUAUAAAAACAUUUGACGAUGGACAGAUUUACCAAUACUGAUUUGAUAUUGCAAAUGUUGACAUAUUUUCUUCAAACUUGAUCAUACGUUAAAAGUUUGUCUUCAGACUAAAUAUACAGGCUUUAGGUUUUGAAGCGGGAAAAUAUGUUGCAACCUGUAAUCUUCAUAUGCCACAUAAAUAAAUUGCCUAUGUUGCAAAAAAGAUGUCCAACAUAGACUUCCACAAAUAAUUCAACCAGGAGCCAUGUUUUCAUGAAAGACAGAGUAGAAACAACUUACACAUGCUAAGUGACAAAUGAGUGAGUUAUAAUUGGAGUCUCCAAGUGAUCAAGACAAACCUAGAAACAAUACAGGUACGCUCAACCUUCACACUAACUUUUGGCACAAGAAGACGCACAAAACCCUAUCUUUUUAUAACUCAAAUAGUUGAACAAGUAUAGGUAAUCAUACUACUUUCAUAUUAUGCACAUUCAAGUUUCCAUCACACUAGAAUAAUUAUUGUGACCUUCUAGCAUGGAUUAUGUGUCGAGCAGCUAGUCGAUACUAGUUAUGUUACAGUCAUCCAAUCGUAACAUGAUUGUCGACUAGGUGUCUCGACUCGACUCAUAGAGGUAGCCGAUCGAUUACUCAAUUAGCCAAUGACUAACCUAACCAGUCGAGAUUUUUGCGUCGAGCAACUUCCUUUUGUAAGAGGGGCACACCGUCCGGUGUUUGGGCCAAGAGGAUAGGGCCAUGCUCAUGGAACCCUAACUCCAAAAUGAGCUCUCCUGUCCAGCACCCAUCUAGCCGCAUCUCCCCUAGCCACCACCAUUGUCGAUGUGCAUGUGGCAACGACCCGUUGUCGCCUUUUACCGCCAUACUGUCCACCACAAUUACUCGAGUCGGCACCCCGCCAACUCAUCUUGACUCAUAUUUCUUGCUUUGUAUUGCAAAAAUCACAAAUAUCUAUCACAAUAUUGGACUGUGACCAACUACCAUAUUCGCAUGGAAAUCACGAGCCCCAUUAAGAUGAUGGUUCUUCGCUUGGCCUGCGGCCAAGAACCGAUGCUGGACCUCAGAUAGGUUGGCGCGCAGAGGCUGUCGCAUCAGGAGUGAAUGGAUCGAGAAGAGGUGUCUAGAGGGGGGUGAAUAGACUCUUAGCAAGAAAAGUUGCUGUUUUUUAAAUUCUUUAAGUUGAAGUGGAGUUUUAGCACAAGUUCAAACAUUCUUAUCACAA